rnacentral:rRNA from 1 species
GGGAUAGCCGCCCGAAAGGACGGGUAAUACCGGAUACCCCCGGGCGCCGCAUGGCGCCCGGGCUAAAGCCCCGACGGGAGGGGAUGGCUCCGCGGCCCAUCGGGUAGACGGCGGGGUGACGGCCCACCGUGCCGACAACGGGUAGCCGGGUUGAGAGACCGACCGGCCAGAUUGGGACUGAGACACGGCCCAGACUCCUACGGGAGGCAGCAGUGGGGAAUCUUGCGCAAUGGGGGGAACCCUGACGCAGCGACGCCGCGUGCGGGACGGAGGCCUUCGGGUCGUAAACCGCUUUCAGCAGGGAAGAGUCAAGACUGUACCUGCAGAAGAAGCCCCGGCUAACUACGUGCCAGCAGCCGCGGUAAUACGUAGGGGGCGAGCGUUAUCCGGAUUCAUUGGGCGUAAAGCGCGCGUAGGCGGCCCGGCAGGCCGGGGGUCGAAGCGGGGGGCUCAACCCCCCGAAGCCCCCGGAACCUCCGCGGCUUGGGUCCGGUAGGGGAGGGUGGAACACCCGGUGUAGCGGUGGAAUGCGCAGAUAUCGGGUGGAACACCGGUGGCGAAGGCGGCCCUCUGGGCCGAGACCGACGCUGAGGCGCGAAAGCUGGGGGAGCGAACAGGAUUAGAUACCCUGGUAGUCCCAGCCGUAAACGAUGGACGCUAGGUGUGGGGGGACGAUCCCCCCGUGCCGCAG